rnacentral:rRNA from 1 species
AUUGAACGCUGGCGGCAGGCCUAACACAUGCAAGUCGAACGGCAGCGGGGGAUAGCUUGCUAUCCUGCCGGCGAGUGGCGGACGGGUGAGUAAUGCAUGGGGAGCUGCCCAGUCGAGGGGGAUAACAACUGGAAACGGUUGCUAAUACCGCAUACGCCCUGAGGGGGAAAGGUGGGGAACUUCGGUCCUACCGCGAUUGGAUGCGCCCAUGUGGGAUUAGCUAGUUGGUGAGGUAACGGCUCACCAAGGCGACGAUCUCUGGCUGGUCUGAGAGGAUGACCAGCCACACUGGAACUGAGACACGAUCCAGACUCCUACGGGAGGCAGCAGUGGGGAAUAUUGCACAAUGGGGGAAACCCUGAUGCAGCCAUGCCGCGUGUGUGAAGAAGGCCUUCGGGUUGUAAAGCACUUUCAGUCAGGAGGAAGGGGUGAUGGCUAAUAUCCAUCAUCAUUGACGUUACUGACAGAAGAAGCACCGGCUAACUCCGUGCCAGCAGCCGCGGUAA